UACGUAGGGUGCGAGCGUUGUCCGGAAUUAUUGGGCGUAAAGAGCUUGUAGGCGGUUUGUUGCGUCUGCUGUGAAAAUCCGGGGCUCAACCCCGGACUUGCAGUGGGUACGGGCAGGCUAGAGUGUGGUAGGGGAGACUGGAAUUCCUGGUGUAGCGGUGGAAUGCGCAGAUAUCAGGAGGAACACCGAUGGCGAAGGCAGGUCUCUGGGCCACUACUGACGCUGAGAAGCGAAAGCAUGGGGAGCGAACAGG
rnacentral:rRNA from 1 species